UUCUGUAUGACUUGCACCUCUUACAUUCAAUCACAACUCCUUACUCAACUAUGCUCCAUAUUAACGCAACACCACCUGCCCCCAUCUCCUGACAGCUGCUAUGGGCAUUGAGGCGACAAAGGGGAGAGAAAUGCUCCACCUCCCCCUAUCAGCUGUUCAAGUCAAACUCACAAGGAUUAAGCGUGACCGGACGUUAUAUGGGGUGGUGGUUGAAGGAAUCUGUUUGACAGACAAUGGCAGCCUCUUAGUGAUGUCAUAAGAAGCUUUAUCACAUUCUGUGCCUCUGAAAAAGCUGCUAGCUGACUGCAGCGAAACGUGUCAGGUGUACAGGGACCCACGCCAGGAACCUACUGUUGGAAGACCGGACCAUCCCCUACUGCAAUCCAGACUACCAUUUGCACUCGGAGGACUUUUACAUCUAAGCUGAACUGAUGAACCUUGCCUACCGCACUGCAUCAGGAGCUCACCAUUAAAAAUCUCGGAGCAUCAUACCCUCUAGCGGUAAUUUAUUAUUACAUUGGACAAUUGCUUACCUCCUAAAAAUUUGCCUAUGCUGGACUUUGAUACCUUUGGGGAAAAACUUUGGAACGGACUUCCUAUAUUUCAAUCUUCUUUCAAACUCCUGGCGGUUUGGGUAACCCUUCAUUCAUUUAUUGUACUAUCUGUGCUUUUUAACCUUUUACUAUUGGUGCAUGCAUUUUA